rnacentral:rRNA from 1 species
GUGGGGAAUCUUAGACAAUGGGGGAAACCCUGAUCUAGCCAUGCCGCGUGAGCGAUGAAGGCCUUAGGGUUGUAAAGCUCUUUCAGCUGGGAAGAUAAUGACGGUACCAGCAGAAGAAGCCCCGGCUAACUCCGUGCCAGCAGCCGCGGUAAUACGGAGGGGGCUAGCGUUGUUCGGAAUUACUGGGCGUAAAGCGCGCGUAGGCGGACCAGAAAGUUGGAGGUGAAACUCCAGGGCUCAACCUUGGAACUGCCUUCAAAACUCCUGGUCUGGAGUUCGAGAGAGGUGAGUGGAAUUCCGAGUGUAGAGGUGAAAUUCGUAGAUAUUCGGAGGAACACCAGUGGCGAAGGCGGCUCACUGGCUCGAUACUGACGCUGAGGUGCGAAAGCGUGGGGAGCAAACAGGAUUAGAAACCCGGGUAGUCC